rnacentral:lncRNA from 1 species
UGGAGCAGCCGAGACUAGAGCUGCUCACUGCCUCCGUGCCUCGUAUCCAUCGCGCCGCCCCCAGCCCCCCCACGCCUCUGCCUUCACCUGCAUCGCGCCACCUCCGCCGUCCGCCUCCAGCGCCGGCGCCACCUCCGCCUCGGCGCCGCCUCCGCAUCCACUCUCCAGUCAGCCCACCUCCACCUUGGCACCUCCAUCCCGCCGGCAAGCAAAUCCACCAAGUCGUCGGCUUCUAAACCUAAACCUACAUGAUCUUCACCAAGUUGAACACUUUUAACUAUUUCCCAUCUUCUCUGUCAAUAUUUCUGAAUUGUAAUCAAGUUUUGUUUUGGUUGCUUGUUUUAAAAUGUGUUUCAGGUUGCUGAAAAGUGGAGGAAGAAGACUAAGAUGGGUACAUGUCAAGCCUAAAACUUAUUUACUAGUUGGCUGUUGCUACUGCUUGAUCUGUGAUGUAAUGUUAUCAACCUAUAACUUGUACUGUGGCAGUCGUGACUCGUAACUUGUGAGGUUCAGACUUGAGACCUAUCCUGUGAUAAUUUGGUGCUUGAUGUUGCCUAUUUUUUGGUAUUUUUGUGAUAUAUAUGUCUGUGAAAAAAAGUCUAAAAA